AGGUCGCUGUUGUCUUUCAUGUGUCUCAGUAGAUUGAUGUUGUCUUUCAUGUGUCUCACAAGGUUGUUGUUGUCUUUCAUGUGUCUCAGUAGAUUGAUGUUGUCUUUCAUGUGUCUCAGAACUUCAAUAAGCUGUGGUGUAUUUGUGUCUAUAUGUGGAUAUCCAUCUGUAUUUGUCUCUGUGGGUGUUAUGAAUGCCUGCGCGUAUACUGUGUGUGUAUUUUAGUGUGUAUCUCAAUGUAUGUUUGAGUCUGUUUAUGAUUGUGUCUGUGUGUGCUGAGAUUGAAAAGUUUUCGAUUAAAUUCCUAUUUUUUUCGACAUUUGAUUUUCCUUUUCUUGUAGCGUAUUUUACUUGACAUUGAAAGUUCCUUGUUUGAUUACAAAUAAAACAAUUAAAACAUGAGUCAGACUAGGUCAAUUUAACCUCCAAAUCACGAUUUCCAAAAAAAAAAAAAAAAAAACAA